rnacentral:rRNA from 1 species
GAUGAACGCUGGCGGCGUGCCUAAUACAUGCAAGUCGAGCGAACGGACGAGAAGCUUGCUUUUCUGAUGUUAGCGGCGGACGGGUGAGUAACACGUGGAUAACCUACCUAUAAGACUGGGAUAACUUCGGGAAACCGGAGCUACUACCGGAUAAUAUUUUGAACCGCAUUGUUCAAAAGUGAAAGACGGUCUUUCUGUCACUUAUAGAUUGAUCCGCGCUGCAUUAGCUAGUUGGUAAGGUAACGGCUUACCAAGGCAACGAUGCAUAGCCGACCUGAGAGGGUGAUCGGCCAGACUGGAAGUGAGAACCGGCACAGACUCCUACGGGAGGAAGCAGUAGGGAAUCUUACGCAAGGGGCGAAAGGCGGAUGGAGCAAAGCCGCGUGAGUGAUGAAGGACCAAGGACCGGAAAACGAUGUUAUUAGGGAAGAACAUAUGUGUAAGUAACUGUGCACAUAUUGACGGUACCUAAUCAGAAAGCCACGGCUAACUACGUG